rnacentral:rRNA from 1 species
AUUGAACGCUGGCGGCAGGCCUAACACAUGCAAGUCGAGCGCGCGGCGGGCGGGGGAGUAAUGUAUGGGGACUGCCCGAUAGAGGGGGAUAACUACUGGAAACGGUGGCUAAUACCGCAUACUGUAGGAUAACCCAUAUGGGAUUAGCUAGUAGGUAAGGUAAUGGCUUACCUAGGCGACGAGCCCUAGCUGGUCUGAGAGGAUGAUCAGCCACACUGGGACUGAGAAACGGCCCAGACUCCUACGGAGGCAGCAGUGGGGAAUAGUGCACAAUGGGCGCAAGCCUGAUGCAGCCAUGCCGCGUGUAUGAAGAAGGCCCUAGGGUUGUAAAGUACUUUCAGUCGGGAGGCGUUACCGACAGAAGAAGCACCGGCUAACUCCGUGCCAGCAGCCGCGGUAAUAC